GUGGAGUCCUCUGAAGAGCAACAGUCAUUGUGUGGAGGUUCAAAUCCAGCUGUUAGCAUGGAACUUUCAGAACCUGUUGUAGAAAAUGGAGAGACUGAAAUGUCCCCAGAAGAAUCGUGGGAGCACAAAGAAGAAAUAAGUGAAGCAGAGCUGGGGGGGGGGGGGGUUCCUUGGGAGAUGGAAGGCCACCUGAGGAAAAUGCCCAAGAAAUGAUAAAGGAGGAAGAGGAAACGCCAAAGCCUAAAUCCGUGGCUGCUCCACCAGAUGCCCUGAGAAAAGAACAUGUAAAUGUAGUGUUCACUGGGCAUGUAGAUAUGGGCAAGUCAACCACUGAAGGACAAAUAAUGUAUCUGACUGGAAUGGUUGACAAAGGACACUUGAAAAAUAUGAAAGAGAAGCUAAGGAAAAAAACAGAGAAACUUGGUACUUGUCUUGGGCCUUAGACACAAAUGAGGAAGAAAGAGACAAGGGUAAGACAGUAGAAGUGGGUUGUGCUUAUUUUGAAACAGAAAAGCAACAUUUCACAAUUCUGGAUGCUCUUGGCCAUACGAAUUUCAUUCUAAAUAUGAUUGGCAGUGCCUCUCAAGCGGAUCUGGCUGUGUUGCUGAUUUCAGCCAGGAAAGGAGAGUUUGAAACUGGAUUUGAAAAAGGAGGACAAACCAGAGAACAUGCAAUGUUGGCAAAGACAGCAGGUGUAAAGCACUUAAUUGUGCUUAUUAAUAAGAUGGAUGAUCCAACAGUAAACUGGAGCAAUGAGAGGUAAGAAGAAUGUAAAGAGAACCUAGUGCCAUUUUUGAAAAAGGUUGGCUUCAAUCCCCAAAAGGACAUUUAUUUUAUGCCUUGCUCAGGAUUGACUGGAGCAAAUCUCAAAGAACAAUCAGAUUUCUGUCCUUGGUACAUUGGAUUACCAUUUAUUCCAUAUCUGGAUAACUUACCAAACUUCAAUAGAUCAGUUGAUGAACUAGUCAGGCUGCAAAUUGUAGAUAAGUACAAGGAUAUGGGCGCUGUGGCCCUGGGAAAGUUGGAAUCAGGAUCUAUUUGUAAAGGUCAACAGCUUGCGAUGAUGCCGAACAAGCACAACAUGGAAGUCCUUGGACUGCUUUCUGAUGCUGUAGAAACAGAUUCUGUAGCCCCAGGUGAAAACCUCAAAAUCAGGCUGAAAGGACUUGAGGAGGAGAUUCUUCCAGGAUUCAUACUCUGUGAUCCCAAUAACCUCUGUCCUUCUGGACGCACAUUUGAUGCCCAGAUAGUGAUUAUAGAAUAUAAAUCCAUCACCUGCCCAGAAUAUAAUGCUGCAUAUUCAUACCUGUACUGAGGAAGCUGAAAUAAAAACUUUUAUCUGCUUGGGAGACAAAAAAAUCAGGAGAAAAAAGUAAGACUCGCCCCCGUUUUGUGAAACAGGAUCAAGGAUGUAUCGCUCAUUUAAAGACAGCAGGAACCAUCUGCCUUGAAACCUUUACAGACUUCCCCCAAAUGAGUCGUUUUACCUUAAGAGAUGAGGGUAAGACCACUGCAAUUGGAAAAGUUCUGAAACUGGUUCUAGAGAAAGACUAAGCAUUUUUCUCAAUGACCCUGCACAAUACUGUGAGG